GUGAAUCAUCAAAUUUUUGAACGCAAAUUGCGCCUUUUUCGGAAGGCAUGUCUGUUUGAGGGCACCAUUUAACAAAUAAUGUGCAGCGUCUUUUGUUGCACACGUUGAUGAGCUUUCCAAGAAUUUUUAAUUUUUGUUGGCGCAUAAUGAACAGCGUGAAAGUUUUUUUCAGUUCUAGUGUAGUCUAAUCUUUGCUUGUUUUGUGAAUUAACAUAUUCGUGCUUUUGGUGU
rnacentral:misc_RNA from 1 species